CGCACCAUCGACCGAUCCNGAUNUCNUCGGANGGAUUUGAGUANGAGCNUNGCUGUUGGGACCCGAAAGAUGGUGAANUAUGCUUGGAUAGGGUGAANCCAGAGGAAACUCUGGUGGAGGCUCGCAGNGGUUNUGACGUGCAAAUCGAUNGUCAAAUNUGNGCAUAGGGGCGAAAGNCUAAUCGAACCAUNUAGUAGCUGGUUCCUGCCGAAGUUUCCCUCAGGAUAGCAGUAACGAGAGCAGUUUUAUGAGGUAAAGCGAAUGAUUAGAGGCCUUGGGGUUGAAACAACCUUAACCUAUUNUCAAACUUUAAAUGUGUAAGAAGUCCUUGUUNNUUAGUUGAACGUGGACACUNGAAUGCACCGUUACUAGUGGGCCAUUUUUGGUAAGCAGAACUGGCGAUGCGGGAUGAACCGAACGCGGGGUUAAGGNGCCGGAAUGCNCGCUCAUCAGACNCCACAAAAGGUGUUGGUUCAUCCAGACAGCAGGACGGUGGCCAUGGAAGUCGGAAUCCGCUAAGGAGUGUGUAACAACUCACUUWCCCGCUGAUWCCCGCYGAACUUAAGCAGGGACCCCGCAGGGAUCUUUGUUGGUUUACUCCUUCCACUGGUUGCAAUUAAAGGGUCAAUUAGCCAACUACCUUCAACAGGUGGCAACAAGGUAACGU
rnacentral:rRNA from 1 species